AACAAACGCUGGCGGCGUGCCUAACACAUGCAAGUCGAACGCGAAAAUCGGCUUCGGCCGAUGAGUAAAGUGGCGCACGGGUGAGUAACGCGUGGAUAAUCUACCCUUCAGUUGGGAAUAACUUAUCGAAAGGUGAGCUAAUACCGAAUAAAACUGCCUGACCACGGUCGGGUAGUCAAAGAUAGCCUCUGCUUGCAAGCUUUCGCUGAAUGAUGAGUCCGCGUACCAUUAGCUAGUUGGUGGGGUAAUGGCCUACCAAGGCGACGAUGGUUAGCUGGUCUGAGAGGAUGAUCAGCCACACUGGAACUGAGACACGGUCCAGACUCCUACGGGAGGCAGCAGUGAGGAAUCUUGCGCAAUGGGGGAAACCCUGACGCAGCAACGCCGCGUGAGUGAGGAAGGUCUUCGGAUCGUAAAGCUCUGUCGGGUGGAAAGAAAUGUAUGGGGUUAAUAGGCCUUCAUACUUGACGGUACCACCAAAGGAAGCACCGGCUAACUCCG
rnacentral:rRNA from 1 species